rnacentral:rRNA from 1 species
CCAAUUGCCCGGGCGUGAAUCGGAUGAUCGGUGCCUAUGGAUGUAAACUUCUUUUGUACAGGGAUAACCUACUCUCGUGAGGGUAGCUGAAGGUACUGUACGAAUAAGCACUGGCUAACUCCGUGCCAGCAGCCGCGGUAAUACGGAGGGGUGCAGCGUUAUCCGGAUUUAUUGGGUUUAAAGGGUCCGUAGGCGGGCCUGUAAGUCAGUGGUGAAAUCUCAUAGCUUAACUAUGAAACUGCCAUUGAUACUGCAGGUCUUGAGUAAAUUUGAAGUGGCUGGAAUAAGUAGUGUAGCGGUGAAAAUGCAUAGAUAUUACUUAGAACACCAAUUGCGAAGGCAGGUCACUAAGAUUUAACUGACGCUGAUGGACGAAAGCGUGGGUAGCGAACAGGAUUAGAUACCCUGGUAGUCCACGCCGUAAACGAUGCUAACUCGUUUUUGGAUUUUCGGAUUCAGAGACCAAGCGAAAGUGAUAAGUUAGCCACCUGGGGAGUACGAUCGCAAGAUUGAAACUCAAAGGAAUUGACGGGGGCCCGCACAAGCGGUGGAUUAUGUGGUUUAAUUCGAUGAUACGCGAGGAACCUUACCAAGACUUAAAUGGGAAUUGACAGAUUUAGAAAUAGAUCCUUCUUCGGACAAUUUUCAAGGUGCUGCAUGGUUGUCGUCAGCUCGUGCCGUGAGGUGUUAGGUUAAGUCCUGCAACGAGCGCAACCCCUGUCACUAGUUGCCAUCAUUCAGUUGGGGACUCUAGUGAGACUGCCUACGCAAGUAGAGAGGAAGGUGGGGAUGACGUCAAAUCAUCACGGCCCUUACGUCUUGGGCCACACACGUAAUACAAUGGCCGGUACAGAGGGCAGCUACCAGGUGACUGGAUGCAAAUCUCGAAAGCCGGUCUCAGUUCGGAUUGGAGUCUGCAACUCGACUCUAUGAAGCUGGAAUCGCUAGUAAUCGCGCAUCAGCCAUGGCGCGGUGAAUACGUUCCCGGGCCUUGUACACACCGCCCGUCAAGCCAUGGAAGUUUGGGGUACCUGAAGUCGGUGACUCGURAAACGAGCUGCCAUGAAKSUAAAWG